rnacentral:rRNA from 1 species
AUUGAACGCUGGCGGCAGGCCUAACACAUGCAAGUCGAACGAGUGGCGGACGGGUGAGUAAUGUCUGGGAAACUGCCUGAUUGAGGGGGAUAACUACUGGAAACGGUAGCUAAUACCGCAUACCAUCGGAUGUGCCCAGAUGGGCUUAGCUAGUGGGUGGGGUAACGGCUCACCUAGACGACGAUCCCUAGCUGGUCUGCGAGGAUGACCAGCCACACUGGAACUGAGACACGGUCCAGACUCCUACGGGAGGACGCAGUGGGGAAGAGUGCACAAUGGGCGCAAGCCUGAUGCAGCCAUGCCGCGUGUAUGAAGAAGGCCUUCGGGUUGUAAGGUUCUUUCAGCGGGGAGGCGUUACCCGCAGAAGAAGCACCGGCUAACUCCGUGCCAGCCGCCGCGGUAAUAC